rnacentral:lncRNA from 1 species
AUUCAAAGAAGGAAUUUGGCACCCAUGAGCUAAUGCAAUAGAAUCAGCCCUGCUUUUACAGCAAGUGUUCCUGGGACACUGAGGAGGAGGGACUAGGGUGGUGUGGAGGCUCCUCUGUGUGCUAUUAUUCAAACUGGCUUUUCUGUAGUCACUUCGUGCAGGCAGUGCCAUCUCUUCUUCUAUUUUGAUGAAAGCACCACUUGCACAUGAUAAAAUCCACCCUUUGCAAGUAUGCAGUUCUGUGAUGCAGUUACAAUCCUGAAGUUGACACCCCAAUCAAGAGAGGCCCCAUUUCUAUCCUCAUUGCUUUCUUUGUGAUCUGUAGCCUACAGAAGGGGGCCACAGGGAAGACAGGAAGCAGAAUUCUGGUGAGGCUUUCCCUAAAUCUUUAGGGGCCGCUCCUUUCCUGCCAGCUCUGGAUUCUUCCCACUGUCAGGGGGAACUCAGCUGAGAGAUGCAGACAGCUGCUCCCUGCCCUUUAGUCCUAAACUUGGAAGAAGUGCUCUGACUUCAGAAGCCUCCUAAACAAACUGGGGCUUUAAAUAAGUUCCUGGGCAAAGUUGUGAAUUCCCUAUGGACUUGGUAACCUUUUGAAUACCGAACAUAAACUAUUGGAGGAGUGUGGUUUCCUUCCAGGUCGGGAACCCAUGCUUUCUUUCUGGAAGAACAGUAAGGAUAUUCCUCUAGACUCUGUCUUUGCUGCAGUCUGCCACUACCUGCUAACUGCUGGCAUGAAGACAAUUGCACUGGGUUUGUGUCACUCUGUUUAGGUUUAUUUAAGUGGCUUCCUGUGCUUUGGAAGGUCAGGAAAGCUGUAUCUCCCUCUAGCCCAUCUUAGCCAACUUCAGUUUCUCCUGGUGUCAGUGCUGAAUUUCUGCAGAACCACCUUUGGGGGGGCAGGAAGGGGAAAUACUGAUGGCAGUUAAACAUCUACAAAGAAUCUUGGAUGUUUGUGGUGUAUACCUCAGUAGGUUACCCUUCCAGCUCUUAGGCUAGAGAGUGAAGGCAAAAUUAGCAUGUGAAAGAAACUGUCUGAUUAAGGGGAAGUAACUCCUCCCCACCAAAGCUGAGGUUGUAACAAACAUACUCUGUGUAAUUAAAAAAAAAGAAAAAAAGAAAAGAAAUAAAAAGUCUUCUCUUAAUGUUCCUAUCUAUGAGACACAAUGUGGGCAUCGCUGACCUACUGACCUUUCUCCCAUCCAGCCCACUUCCUCCCCUGGAAGUGCUUUCUUCCUUAAUAAACUCUUUCAGCUUAUACCAUGUCUGUGUGUCCCCGCCAAGUUUCUUGUUCUGGGACACAAGAACUUGAAAGCCCCAAAGGGUGCUUGCUCCUUGGGUUCCUGUAUCUUCUAAUAAAAGUGGGAGGGAUGGGGCUGGUGAGAUGGCUCAGUGGUUAAGAGCACCGACUGCGCUUCCAAAGGUCCUGAGUUCAAAUCCCAGCAACCACAUGGUGGCUCACAACCAUCUGUAAUAAGAUCUGACACCCUCUUCUGGUAUGUCUGAAGACAGCUACAGUGUGCUUACAUAUAAUAAAUAAAUAAAUAUUU